rnacentral:rRNA from 1 species
AGAAUUUCGGUCAGGGAUGAGCUCGCGGCCUAUCAGCUUGUUGGUGAGGUAAUGGCUCACCAAGGCGUCGACGGGUAGCCGGACUGAGAGGGUGACCGGCCACACUGGGACUGAGACACGGUCCAGACUCCUACGGGAGGCAGCAAUGUGGAAUAUUGCACAAUGGGCGCAAGCCUGAUGCAGCAACGCCGCGAGAGGGAUGACGGCCUUCGGUCUGUAAACCUCUUUUAGCAGGAUAGAAGCGAACGUGACGGUACCUGCAGAAAAAGCGCCGGCUAACUACGUGCCAGCAGCCGCGGUAUUACGAAGGGUGCUCGCUAUAUCCGGAAUUGUUGAGCGUAAAGAGCUCGUAGGCGAUCUGUCGCGUCUGCUGUGAAAACGCGAGGCUCAACCUCGGUCCUGUUGAGUGUACGGGCAGACUAGAGUGUGGCAGGGCAGAUUGCAUUUCGUGGUGUAUGGGUGGAAUGCUCAGAUAUCAGGACGAACACCGAUGGUCAAGCAGAUCUCUGGGGCGCAACUGAGGCAGAUGAGCGAAAGUGCGCGCAGCAAACUGGCUUAUAUACCCGGGUAGUCCACCCCGUAAACGUUGUGACCUAGUUGGGUCGUCCAUUCCACGGAUUCCGUGACGCAUCUAACGCAUUAAU